AACGAGCGCUGGCGGCAGGCCUAACACAUGCAAGUCGGGCGCUGUAGCAAUACAGAGCGGCGCACGGGAUAAUAACGCGUGGGAACCUACCUUAUGGUUCGGAAUAACAUCGGGAAACUGGUGCUAAUACCGGAUAAGCCCUUCGGGGGAAAGAUUUAUUGCCAUUAGAUGGGCCCGCGUUAGAUUAGCUAGUUGGUGAGGUAACGGCUCACCAAGGCGACGAUCUAUAGCUGGUCUGAGAGGAUGAUCAGCAUCACUGGGACUGAGACACGGCCCAGACUCCUACGGGAGGCAGCAGUGGGGAAUAUUGGACAAUGGGGGAAGCCCUGAUCCAGCCAUGCCGCGUGAAUGAUGAAGGCCUUCGGGUUGUAAAGUUCUUUUGACGGGGACGAUGAUGACGGUACCCGUAGAAUAAGCUCCGGCUAACUUCGUGCCAGCCGCCGCCGUAA
rnacentral:rRNA from 1 species